rnacentral:rRNA from 1 species
CCUACGGGUGGCAGCAGUGGGGAAUAUUGCACAAUGGGGGAAACCCUGAUGCAGCGACGCCGCGUGAGUGAAGAAGUAUCUCGGUACGUAAAGCUCUAUCAGCCGGGAAGAAAAUGACGGUACCUGACUAAGAAGCCCCGGCUAACUACGGGCCAGCAGCCGCGGUAAUACGGAGGGGGCAAGCGUUAUCCGGAUUUACUGGGUGUAAAGGGGGCGUAGACGGCAGCACAAGUCUGGAGUGAAAUCCCGGGGCUUAACCCCGGAACUGCUGUGGAAACUGUGGGGCUGGAGUGGGGGAGGGGUAAGCGGAAUGCCUGGUGUAGCGGUGAAAUGCGUAGAUAUUAGGAGGAACACCGAUUGCGAAGGCAGCAUACUGGACUGUAACUGACGUUGAGGCACGAAAGCGUGGGGAGCGAACAGGAUUAGAUACCCCAGUAGUC